AGUUGCUAACGCGUGAAGGCGAGCACUCUAGACGAACUGCCGUUGGACAAAACGGAGGAAGGUGGGGAUGACGUCAAAUCACCAUGCCCUUAUGUUCUGGGCUACACACGUGCUACAAUGGCCGGUACAGACGGACGCAAAGCCGCGAGGUGGAGCAAAUCCUAAAAAGCCGGUCUCAGUUCGGAUUGCAGGCUGCAAUUCGCCUGCAUGAAGUCGGAAUCGCUAGUAAUCGCAGGUCAGCAUACUGCGGUGAAUACGUUCCCGGGCCUU
rnacentral:rRNA from 1 species